CCUGGAUAUUUUUCGCUAUGCCUUCUUCAGUUUUUGCAUGUAGUGGAAGCUUUUGAACUGUAACUAAUGGUGGAUGUCAUCAUGAACAUUAUGGAAGCAUACAUCUUAUACUUCAGCACCUCCCUUUUGCUCUGUCUUGGCUUUUUCAUCAUCUUUGUCGUUUUCUUCCAGGCCCAUGACUUUUUAAGCAUGAAAUAUGGCUGCAAACUCUUGGUACAGAUUGGCUUGAAAAUCAUGGUUCACCAAUAUUUAUCGGAUGCAAUCAGUCCUGAGGAUGAUGGUUUAAUGUUCUUCCUAAUAUAGCAAGAGUCGCAUCCCUAUGUCAUAAAUUUUUUUUCUCUCUCUUUAAACUUUCCUUGUUUGUCAAUUGGGAAUAGAAGUUAAUAAACUUAUCUUCUGUGGUUUGAACAGAAAUAACUUCGUAAAACUAAUUACUACUUGACUCAAACUAAGGAGUUUGUUGGAAUGUUUUAAAUUCAAUUAUUAUAAUGAAUUUUAGGAUUGUAAUAAAUGCUUUUUUUUUUUUUGGCUCUGAUGCUGAAAUUGCAAUUAUCAAUUGAUAGUCAUUUCUCAAGUGGUAUCACUGUUCAUUUGUUCUUAUUUUUUAUUUUUUUCCUUUCAUUUUUAGGGCAGUGAUAUUUUGAUGGAAAUAUUGACUUGCAUAUGAAUGUGAAACUGUUUUUGUACUUUCCCUGCUUCCUUUCUUCCCUUUUCUAAUUGUCUUGUUGAGGCUGAUUAUUGGCUUCAUAUUAACUAUUUUGAUACCCUCUUUCUGUUUAAUUAACAAAUCUUAAACUAAGUUAUGCUGUAUGAACUCAAAUUAUUCUCUACUUCUUCGUCUCUCUUUCCGAUUUUCAUCUCUUGUUUCAUGGUGUCAUCAGCAUGAAGGUUAAAUGCCCAUGCAUCGCUAGCAUACUGCAAGAACUGAUGGACUUUGGUAGAUGAAUAAACAUAUUUAUGAUCUCCAGUUGUUUUGAUCGUAGAUUUUCAAGAGUAAAUGGCAUCCUUAGCCACGGUCCUUUGUUUACCUCUGGCUGAUCCAUCAGCACUUUGUAAAUACACAGUGAUAGCAGUGGUUUAAUAGCAAAGAUUUGUCAAUACUACUUUAAGCUGAAAGGAAGUUACCAAAACUGUGAGAUAUUUGGGGAAGGAAGUUUGAAUCUUGUGGAUCUUGACAAUGGAAGAACAUAGAAGCCCUUCACACACAAACCCAGCUGUUAAUGCUGCCGGAAGCGCAAAGGAACGAUCCAGUGGACCAGCUUUUGGUGGUGUCGACAUUGGUGAGAGUGAAGGUGGAUAUUUCCUGAGAGUUGCAAUGCCUGGAGCCAUGAGGGAUGAGGGUUCAUUUAGUAUUAGUAAAGAUGGCACUGUUGAUAUACAAGGUGUGAUCAGAUAUGAGAUUCCAUCACAGGUGCCGAAGAUGAAGGUCCAGCAGCUAUAUCCUCCUGGACCAUUUGCGUUGUCUCUUAAACUGCCUGGACGUGUUGACCCUAGAAUGUUCACUUGUAAACUAAGGUAUGAUGGCAUCUUUGAGGUUGUGGUCAUGAAACCUGGUUAUUCUGAUACGCCAGCACAGCCAUCCUACCGGGAACGCAGCAUGCCUGUAAAUACAUAGAUGAGUAAACUGUAAAAGCUCAUAUUUUGAGUUUCUUGAUUUUGGGCUACUGCAGCAUCAACACUGAUGCUCUUUCAAGAAUGCCUUCACUUCGGAAACUAUCAACCAAUCCGAGAUGACUACACUGAGGAACCCCCAAGCCGUCUCUUUACCUUGGAAACUAUUUAUCAAGAGUGCUUAUGAUGAUGAUCCGUCUGGUCCAUUAAUGGCAUGAAGGCAGGUAUUUGAAAAUGUAUCUACCGUUGACAUUAUUCAGUUUCUUUGAGCAUUCUCAUCAUCUACCAGACCUAAGCCUAAAAUAAUAUAAUUUUUUUGGGCAAGAAGUUUAGGUUAGGUAGAUUGACCACACGGAUCUUUCCGAUAGUGUUGAGUCAAUUGCUAAAUUUGCAGACGUGGCUUCUCCUGUUCAGGGAUUGAGAGUGUUUUUGUUCAAAUUCUCAAGUGGUAGAUGGGUUUAUUUUC